ensembl:lncRNA
CUGUACGCACACAGUAUUGUAUUUCUUUCUGUUGACGGACUUUUACUUUGACAUCAUACUCGUCUCGUGGGAUAGGGAACAACUGUGAAAGUUAGUAACGCACAUAUCUAGUAAGCCGUCGCUGUCUCACACUGUGAUAAAUAUGUUUAAGUGACCUAUGUUUAAAUUCUAUGAACUGUGUUAGUUCGUUGAAACGUAAAAUGUAAUUACCGGUAUUAUUCAUUUAGAUACGUUACGUUACUACCACUAGACCGUCUGAUCCGCCUCUGAAUGUCUUUGUCCAAUCAGGUAACAGUCAGGCAAAAGUCGUGCUUCACAUGACACCGUUACGAGCGACGCGAUAUUCUAAAUAUCAUGCAUUUCAACGGGAGCCAAUCCAUUGUGACGUAGACCACCGUUUUGGACUUAACGGUGCAAACCCAUGACAGCGACGCGAUACGCUUCCAUCGCUUUGAGUGGGCGUGUUGUAUCGUGUGGAAAUAUCAUUUUCAAACCGUCAGAGACGACACUAACGGUGCAAACCCAUGACAGCGACGCGAUACGCUUCCAUCGCUUUGAGUGGGCGUGUUGUAGCGUGUGGAAAUAUCAUUUUUUAAACCGUCAGAGACGACACCAAACAAUCUGAUUGGCCACUGCCGGGAAAAAUCGCUCCUCAUUUGCAUAUGUAGGGGUACCCAAUAGCCCCAACAGAACUUGUAUAUAGCCAGCCAAUCAGUGACUGGAGAGUUGGUGCGCGGGCGAAUGGAGAGAGAGGAGGGGGCGGGACAAGCGGCAGACGGAGAAUGACGAGAGAGAAGAUGGCGGCGCCCGUAGAGCCCCCACGUUAUUGUGAGUGAAUAACAGGAAGAUAAGUCAGUUAAUUGUAAGUUUAGCUCUAAGUUUAUUAAGUUUGUUAGUGUCCGUGUUACGGAAUAAUUACGGUUGGAGUGAAGAAGGAGUCUACACCACCAGCACUGAAGAUCACCCGGUGUCGCUGUCAAAAAUAUAGCACGUUGUAGUGUGAGGCGGAAUGUCCUCGCUAGUUAGUGAAGUGUUAAACAUUUAGAAACAAGCUCGUCGCCAACGUCGGAGACUUCACCAGGCCAGGGAACUUGGACAGCUAGCCGUUCGCCACUACAGGGCCCUUGAUGUGCCCGCAGCUCACUUGCCCUCUCUCCCUCCCUCUCCCACGCCACUGACAGAUGGUGUGGUUCGUGAGUAUUACCCUGCCACAUGUGACUCACAUUGUCAACGAGCAGCAAAGUGUCCGGGACGGUAAUGUCCGAUUUGGGAACAGUUCAAUACACUUUGAGGACCGUGGCUCGACCAUUUUGAACUGAACGUGCAAAACAGUGAACUGCAGUGAACAUCAUACUGAAUGUGGAAAACAUUGGACUUUGAUUGUGAAAUAUGUUUAUUGUGCAAAACGAACUUCUGUUAUGGGUUUGAAUGAUGUAAUUGAAUGUCUUUGCAUUUAAUUAGGAGUAAGAGUGUUAAACUUGACUUGGAGUAUAUUGCAUUUGUGUACAUACCGUAUGUUGCUAGGGUCAUUAACACACAGUGGAUUCAGUGUAUGUUGGCACGGGGCAUUGGUAUUUUGUGUUCUGGUUAUUGUGCCCUUUUCAGUUAGACGAACUCACCGGUGAGUAGGACAGGUGUGUCUGUUAGAGUAUUGUCAUGAGCAGGGCGGGAAGUGUUUCAGUGUGACAUAAUUGUUCUAAACUAAUUAAAUAAUAAAUUUAAUGUAACUUUUUCCUAUGGUUAGUUCCACCUGUUACAUAUAGGAUUCAACAUUUUCCAACAUUUAUCGGUCG